UGAUCUGGCUUUUGGAGCAUUCCAGGAAAUAGCUCUGGCGUAUAGACCGUACCCGAAACCGACACAGGUGGACUGGUAGAGAAUACCAAGGCGCUUGAGAGAACGAUGCUGAAGGAACU
rnacentral:rRNA from 1 species